UAUGGAGAGUUUGAUCCUGGCUCAGGAUGAACGCUGGCGGCGUGCCUAAUACAUGCAAGUCGAGCGAACGGACGAGAAGCUUGCUUCUCUGAUGUUAGCGGCGGACGGGUGAGUAACACGUGGAUAACCUACCUAUAAGACUGGGAUAACUUCGGGAAACCGGAGCUAAUACCGGAUAAUAUUUUGAACCGCAUGGUUCAAAAGUGAAAGACGGUCUUGCUGUCACUUAUAGAUGGAUCCGCGCUGCAUUAGCUAGUUGGUAAGGUAACUGCUUACCAAGGCAACGAUGCAUAGCCGACCUGAGAGGGUGAUCGGCCACACUGGAACUGAGACACGGUCCAGACUCCUACGGGAGGCAGCAGUAGGGAAUCUUCCGCAAUGGGCGAAAGCCUGACGGAGCAACGCCGCGUGAGUGAUGAAGGUCUUCGGAUCGUAAAACUCUGUUAUUAGGGAAGAACAUAUGUGUAAGUAACUGUGCACAUCUUGACGGUACCUAAUCAGAAAGCCACGGCUAACUACGUGCCAGCAGCCGCGGUAAUACGUAGGUGGCAAGCGUUAUCCGGAAUUAUUGGGCGUAAAGCGCGCGUAGGCGGUUUUUUAAGUCUGAUGUGAAAGCCCACGGCUCAACCGUGGAGGGUCAUUGGAAACUGGAAAACUUGAGUGCAGAAGAGGAAAGUGGAAUUCCAUGUGUAGCGGUGAAAUGCGCAGAGAUAUGGAGGAACACCAGUGGCGAAGGCGACUUUCUGGUCUGUAACUGACGCUGAUGUGCGAAAGCGUGGGGAUCAAACAGGAUUAGAUACCCUGGUAGUCCACGCCGUAAACGAUGAGUGCUAAGUGUUAGGGGGUUUCCGCCCCUUAGUGCUGCAGCUAACGCAUUAAGCACUCCGCCUGGGGAGUACGACCGCAAGGUUGAAACUCAAAGGAAUUGACGGGGACCCGCACAAGCGGUGGAGCAUGUGGUUUAAUUCGAAGCAACGCGAAGAACCUUACCAAAUCUUGACAUCCUUUGACAACUCUAGAGAUAGAGCCUUCCCCUUCGGGGGACAAAGUGACAGGUGGUGCAUGGUUGUCGUCAGCUCGUGUCGUGAGAUGUUGGGUUAAGUCCCGCAACGAGCGCAACCCUUAAGCUUAGUUGCCAUCAUUAAGUUGGGCACUCUAAGUUGACUGCCGGUGACAAACCGGAGGAAGGUGGGGAUGACGUCAAAUCAUCAUGCCCCUUAUGAUUUGGGCUACACACGUGCUACAAUGGACAAUACAAAGGGCAGCGAAACCGCGAGGUCAAGCAAAUCCCAUAAAGUUGUUCUCAGUUCGGAUUGUAGUCUGCAACUCGACUACAUGAAGCUGGAAUCGCUAGUAAUCGUAGAUCAGCAUGCUACGGUGAAUACGUUCCCGGGUCUUGUACACACCGCCCGUCACACCACGAGAGUUUGUAACACCCGAAGCCGGUGGAGUAACCUUUUAGGAGCUAGCCGUCGAAGGUGGGACAAAUGAUUGGGGUGAAGUCGUAACAAGGUAGCCGUAUCGGAAGGUGCGGCUGGAUCACCUCCUU
rnacentral:rRNA from 1 species